UCGGACCAGGCUUCAUUCCUC
rnacentral:miRNA from 17 species